rnacentral:tRNA from 1 species
GAGGGUGGAGCUCGGGGGGAGAGCACGUGCUUGGCAUGCACGAGGCCCUGGGUUCAAUCCCCAGCACCUUCA